rnacentral:rRNA from 1 species
UACGGAAGGCAGCAGUGGGGAAUAUUGCACAAUGGGCGAAAGCCUGAUGCAGCUAUGCCGCGUGUAUGAAGAAGGCCUUAGGGUUGUAAAGUACUUUCAUCGGGGAGGAAAAAACAAAACUAAUAAUUUUAUUUCUUGACGUUACCCGAAAAAGAAGCACCGGCUAACUCCGUGCCAGCAGCCGCGGUAAUACGGAGGGUGCUAGCGUUAAUCAGAAUUACUGGGCGUAAAGAGCACGUAGGUGGUUUUUUAAGUCAGAUGUGAAAUCCCUGGGCUUAACCUAGGAACUGCAUUUUGAAACUGAAAUACUAGAGUAUCGUAGAGGGAGGUAGAAUUCUAGGUGUAGCGGUGAAAUGCGUAGAUAUCUGGAGGAAUACCUGUGGCGAAAGCGGCCUCCUAAACGAAUACUGACACUGAGGGUGCGAAAAGCGUGGGGAGCAAAACAGGGAUUAGAUACC